rnacentral:rRNA from 1 species
GACGAACGCUGGCGGCGUGCUUAACACAUGCAAGUCGAACGCUGAAGCUUGGUGCUUGCACUGGGUGGAUGAGUGGCGAACGGGUGAGUAAUACGUGAGUAACCUGCCCUUGACUCUGGGAUAAGCCUGGGAAACUGGGUCUAAUACUGGAUACGACAUGUCACCGCAUGGUGGUGUGUGGAAAGGGUUUUACUGGUUUUGGAUGGGCUCACGGCCUAUCAGCUUGUUGGUGGGGUAAUGGCUCACCAAGGCGACGACGGGUAGCCGGCCUGAGAGGGUGACCGGCCACACGGGGACUGAGACACGGCCCAGACUCCUACGGGAGGCAGCAGUGGGGAAUAUUGCACAAUGGGCGAAAGCCUGAUGCAGCGACGCCGCGUGAGGGAUGACGGCCUUCGGGUUGUAAACCUCUUUCAGCACGGAAGAAGCGAAAGUGACGGUACGUGCAGAAGAAGCGCCGGCUAACUACGUG